rnacentral:rRNA from 1 species
CGCGAAGAACCUUACCAACUCUUGACAUCCCAUUGACCGCUUGAGAGAUCAAGUUUUCCCUUCGGGGACAAUGGUGACAGGUGGUGCAUGGUUGUCGUCAGCUCGUGUCGUGAGAUGUUGGGUUAAGUCCCGCAACGAGCGCAACCCCUAUCCUUAGUUGCCAGCAUUGAGUUGGGCACUCUAGGGAGACUGCCGGUGACAAACCGGAGGAAGGUGGGGAUGACGUCAAAUCAUCAUGCCCCUUAUGAGUUGGGCUACACACGUGCUACAAUGGACGGUACAAAGGGCAGCGAGACCGCGAGGUGGAGCCAAUCCCAUAAAGCCGUUCCCAGUUCGGAUUGCAGGCUGCAACUCGCCUGCAUGAAGUCGGAAUCGCUAGUAAUCGCAGGUCAGCAUACUGCGGUGAAUACGUUCCCGGGUCUUGUACACACCGCCCGUCACACCACGAGAGUUUGCAACACCCGAAGCCGGUGAGUAA